rnacentral:rRNA from 1 species
GACGAACGCUGGCGGCGUGCCUAACACAUGCAAGUCGAACGAGGUCCAAGGAAGCUUGCUUCCUGAAGACCUAGUGGCGAACGGGUGAGUAACACGUGAGAAACCUGCCUCGGAGUGGGGAAUAACUCGGGGAAACUCGAGCUAAUACCGCAUACCUUCACAUGAUCGCAUGGUCGAGUGAAGAAAGAAUUUCGCUCUGAGAGGGUCUCGCGGCCUAUCAGCUUGUUGGUGGGGUAACGCCUACCAAGGCAACGACGGGUAGCUGGUUUGAGAGAACGAUCAGCCACACUGGGACUGAGACACGGCCCAGACUCCUACGGGAGGCAGCAGUGGGGAAUCUUGCGCAAUGGGCGAAAGCCUGACGCAGCAACGCCGCGUGCGGGAUGACGGCCUUCGUGGUUGUAAACCGCUUUCAGCAGGGACGAAAAUGACGGUACCUGCAGAAGAAGCCCC